UAAUACGUAAGUGGCGAGCGUUAUCCGGAAUCACUGGGCGUAAAGCGUGCGUAGGCGGUUUGGCAAGUUGGAUUUGAAAGCCCGGGGCUCAACUCCGGACCCGGAUCCAAAACUGCCAGACUAGAGCGGAUCAGAGGACAGUGGAAUUCCCGGUGUAGCGGUAAUAUGCGUAGAUAUCGGGAGGAACACCAGUGGCGAAGGCGACUGUCUGGGGUCUUGCUGACGCUGAGGCACGAAAGCCAGGGGAGCGAACGGGAUUAGAUACCCCGGUAGUCCUGGCCAUAAACGAUGAACACUAGGUGUCGGAGGCUUCGACCCCUUCGGCGCCGCCGCUAACGCAUUAAGUGUUCCGCCUGGGGAGUACGGCCGCAAGGUUA
rnacentral:rRNA from 1 species